rnacentral:rRNA from 1 species
GACGAACGCUGGCGGCGUGCCUAAUACAUGCAAGUAGAACGCAGUUGCGAACGGGUGAGUAACGCGUAGGUAACUGCCUCAUAGCGGGGGAUAAACAUUGGAAACGAUAGCUAAUACCGCAUACUUUGAGAUGGACCUGCGUUGUAUUAGCUAGUUGGUGAGGUAAAGGGUCACCAAGGCGACGAUCCAUAGCCGGCCUGAGAGGGGUAACGGGCCCACCUGGACCGGAGAACGGCCCAGACUCCCUCGGGAGGGAGCAGGAGGGGAUCUUCGGGAAUGGACGGAAGUCUGACCGAGCAACGGCGGGGGAGUGAAGGAGGUUUUCGGAGCGUAAAACUCUGUUGUGAGGGGAGCGGUAACUAAACAGAAAGGGACGGCUAACUACGUGCCAGCAGCCGCGGUAAUAC